GGGGGCGACAUGGCUUCGACGUGGGUAGCGAAACUUUAAGUGCAUGCCGAGGACUGUACACCUCUUAAAUCCUACAGAAAAAAAGUAUUCGCAAAUGACGAAAACUACUCAAUGGCGUUAGCUGCUUAAACACAGCUCCCAUUCCUUUGACCAUCUGUGCUUAUGCGGGUGGAGUUCGGUUCGCUGGACGCUCAGAGGUCAUAUUACAUAAGAUCGUGCUGAAGCCUGUCCGGAGCGGAUGCCCUAAAACCUUACGGAAUCGCUGAUGAUUUUCUUGGCCCAACGGGUAGUCAUCGGCUAAAUCAAAAGUGUGGGAU
rnacentral:tmRNA from 1 species